rnacentral:rRNA from 1 species
AUUGAACGCUGGCGGCAUGCCUUACACAUGCAAGUCGAACGGUAACAGGUCUUCGGAUGCUGACGAGUGGCGAACGGGUGAGUAAUACAUCGGAACGUGCCCAGGCGUGGGGGAUAACGAGGCGAAAGCUUUGCUAAUACCGCAUACGAUCUAAGGAUGAAAGCAGGGGACCGAAAGGCCUUGCGCGGCUGGCGCGGCCGAUGGCAGAUUAGGUAGUUGGUGGGAUAAAAGCUUACCAAGCCGACGAUCUGUAGCUGGUCUGAGAGGACGACCAGCCACACUGGGACUGAGACACGGCCCAGACUCCUACGGGAGGCAGCAGUGGGGAAUUUUGGACAAUGGGCGAAAGCCUGAUCCAGCAAUGCCGCGUGCAGGAUGAAGGCCUUCGGGUUGUAAACUGCUUUUGUACGGAACGAAAAGGCUCUGGCUAAUACCUGGGGCACAUGACGGUACCGUAAGAAUAAGCACCGGCUAACUACGUGCCAGCCGCCGCAGUAA